UUAGGCCAUCAUCCCAUUAUGC
rnacentral:miRNA from 1 species